AAAGGAUGAUAGAACUAUGAUGACUAGAAAUGAGUUGUUCAAAAACACAUUGAGAAAAGCAGCUCAUGGAUGGAAACGGAUCAAUGAGCUUCGACUUUCUGAAGAAGAAGCAUCCUGGUUUAGGCAUUAUGUUGAUCAACCAGCAUAUACGGAUCUUCACUGGGGAAUGUUUGUGCCUUUUAUUAAAGGAUCUGGUACUGAC